UGGGUCCACCUCCCACCCGUGUUUAUUGUACCUUGUUGCUUCGGUGCGCCCGCCUCACGGCCGCCGGGGGGCUUCUGCCCCCGGGUCCGCGCGCACCGGAGACACCAUUGAACUCUGUCUGAAGAUUGCAGUCUGAGCAUAAACUAAAUAAGUUAAAACUUUCAACAACGGAUCUCUUGGUUCCGGCAUCGAUGAAGAACGCAGCGAAAUGCGAUAACUAAUGUGAAUUGCAGAAUUCAGUGAAUCAUCGAGUCUUUGAACGCACAUUGCGCCCCCUGGUAUUCCGGGGGGCAUGCCUGUCCGAGCGUCAUUGCUGCCCUCAAGCACGGCUUGUGUGUUGGGCUCCGUCCCCCCGGGGACGGGCCCGAAAGGCAGCGGCGGCACCGAGUCCGGUCCUCGAGCGUAUGGGGCUUUGUCACCCGCUCUGUAGGCCCGGCCGGCGCCAGCCGACAACCCAUCAUCCUUUUCAGGUUGACCUCGGAUCAGGUAGGGAUACCCGCUGAACUUAAGCAUAUCAAUAAGCGGAGGAA
rnacentral:rRNA from 1 species